GAACAGCCUACCAGGAAUGCAACUGCAAAGAUUUUCACACUGCUGCUGUCACCACAGGAAGAGCAUUUCCUCACAGUGCAAACAGAAGAAGUCUCCAGCCAUUACUGAUUUGGACUACAGAAACACCCAUAAAUGGUAGAGAAGAUUUUUGCUCUUCUACCUCACUGUAACUGCUCUCAUUAUCUUCCAUACUGGUAGUCCUUUCAAAGCAACCAGGCUGAGAAAGAAAAGAACUCAUACUUUAUAGAUAAUCUCUAGGAAUUCACAAUAGUGGUGACUAUCUCUUGAGAUGAUUUAAUAGCAUUAAUUAAUGCAUGUGAAAACUGGAUACAAUCACACACCUUUAUACCAGUCCCACAUUUUGAAUAUUCACUUUAAUAAAUCUCUUAUAAAGAAGAAAGGAUACUGCUGUUUUAGUUCUUAGAUUUUAUAAUUAUCAGUUCAAUAACAAAACAAACCUGAAUGUAUUUUAUCCAUUUAGCAACCACUUUACUCAGAAUGGUUAGGGAACAACUCCAACAAACACUGAUUGCACUUAUAUCUUAUGCAGCCAUCUACUGUUAGGUAAACCAUUCUCAAGUAGUGAUAAAAUUUAUUAGAAUUCAGCAAAUUCUAUAUACCAUCUGGAAUGAGUUAUUACCACAUCACUGAGCAUUUCAUUAAGAUCUUACUAAUACAGAGACUUGUAUAUCUGAUUGAUUUUAAUGAAGGUGGUGGCUCAGCUUUGAGUGCAUUCCUGUGAAUCCUUUUGCAGAAUCCAAAACAUGAACUAGAAGAGAGGAUCUAUUUUAUCCUGUUUGGAACAGAGAAAAUACUCCAUGGACUCUGAAGUACAGGGUAGGCUAAAUUGUAAGAACCACAUUAAAGCCAAGACAGAAUUCCUGCAACGGGCUACAGGUAAGGAUGCCAGCAGUGCUAAAGAGUAACACAAACAUAAAACAAGCUGCCAAUGCGCCAGCGGCAGCCAGAAUACUUUCUGCUGAACUGCACUGUCAGGUAGCA